GAAGCUUCCUGCUGUUUCUUCCAGCUUCCAUUCUCUCUCUGGAAUUUCCCUCUUGGAUGCUUCCUUUUGGAGCUCAGUCACCAUGCCUUGAGAAACCCAAGCAGGAAAAGGUUGUGUGUAGGUGCUCUAGUUGACACUGUGAGCUGAGGGAAAUAAUACAUAAUGUGAGGAAUGGUAAUAGCUGGAGAAGAAAUGAGGAAGAAGGAUGAAUUUUUUGUUUAGAGAUGAGGAAACAGACCCAGAGAGAUCAAAUACUCGCUAAUGUCUCAUAUCCAGUCCCCGCCACAAGCUGCAUUAAGGACAGCACCAGGUACUCUUAGGUUUGGAUCCUACAAGAAAUAAACUAAUGGAAGCAGAUUCCUCA
rnacentral:lncRNA from 1 species